rnacentral:rRNA from 1 species
AACGAACGCUGGCGGCGCGUCUUAAACAUGCAAGUCGAACGGCAGGAAGGGGCUUGCCCCUUCUGAGAGUGGCGGACUGGUGAGUAACACGUGGGUGACAUCCCUUUUAGUUUGGGAUAGCUAUUUGAAAUAGUAGGUAAUACCGCAUGUGACCGUACCUGUUAGGGGGGUACUAGGAAAGGAUCUAAGGCUUCGCUAAAAGAAUGGCUCGCGGCCCAUUAUGCUCGUUGGUGCGGUAACGGCCCACCAAGGCGAGGAUGGGUAUCCGGCCUGGGAGGGUGAACGGACACAUUAGGACUGAGAUACGGCCCAGACUUCUGCGGGAGGCAGCAGUUAAGAAUAUUACGCAAUGGACGAAAGUCUGACGGAGCGACGCCGCGUGGAUGAAGAAUGCCGAAAGGUUGUAAAAUCCUUUUAAGCCUGAUGAAUAAGCACAGUAGGGAAUGAUUGUGCGGUGACCGUAGGGGUUGAAUAAGCACCGGCUAAUUACGUG